UGGAACCUUUUAGGACCGCUGAAAAAUGACUGACUUCACCCGCUCGAGUUAGGGACAACAGCUGCUGUGGGAAUUGUGCUGCACUGGGAAACGUACACCUGCCUCUACAUUAGUUCAUUACAAGACCUUUACUUCAGAAGUUGUCUUCUUUGGACAGAAGCCUGGUGGAAACUCUUCCUGAUGUUUUCCAGCUACUUUUACAUCCAAUUGAAGGUCAUCUUGUAUCAUGUUUUGUUACUUUCCAUAUGAGAAUGUCAGGAAGAAAAGUAAUAAAGUUUGCCAACACUA